AUGCGUAAUACAUGAACAAGCUGGCUCAGCUAGCUAGCGAAUGCGGAGGCAGGGUUUUACCAACGAAUUGUUAACUAGGUAGAAGGAUUAUAAAGGCCGCUGAUUGGCUCCUCCGGUGCGAGCCGGCGGCCAUCUUGGAUAGCGCAUGAAAAGAAUUAGCUUCCGAUCGUACCGGUACGUUCUUUACCAUGUUUACAAUGAAAGAUAUCAUCAUCAAUUCAUCAUCCUUCAAAAUGCCUUCUUGUGCCGCAAUCAACUGUACUAAUCGACUCGUGAAAGGGUCAGGAAAAACAUUUCACAAAUUUCCCAAAGCUGGUUCAGCCCAUCUAAAGGAAUGGCUGGUCAAGAUGAAAAGAGACAAGUGGACACCGAGCAAGUAUGCCACCCUGUGCUCAGACCACCAGCACAGAAUGUCUGUCCAUUCAAACACCAAUAGUGUGCAUGUCUCACACAAAUUUGUAAAUAUGUAGCCUUAAUGGUGUUGCAUUAUUAAAACAUUGACUUUCCUUAUCAUUGCAAUGUUAAUUAUUGUUAUCAAUUCAGGCUGAUGAAUGAUCUUAACAAGAAAACUUAAAGACUUGAUCAUGUGUAUAGUACCGUAAUGUGUAUUCAAAACAUGCCUUUAUUAGUGUUGCAAUAUAAACAUUUCAUUGGACUCUUUCUUUAUCAUUACAAUAUGAACUAUUACCAGGUAUAUCCGUCUGGACUGAUGGUUUUAUCAAGACAACUAGCACAAAAUGUCUGUCCGUUCAAGCACCAUGAAUUCUAGUAGAGUGUGCAUGUCUCACACAAAAUUGGAAAUUUAUAGCAUAAGCCUUGAUCAUGUGUUCAGUGCCAAAAUUUCUAUUCAAAACUUGCCUUGAUAGUGUUGCAAUAUUUACAUUUCAUUUGACUCUUUCAUUAUUGCAAUAUCAAUACAUGUACUUAUUGAUAAUCCAAAAGAAUUUUAUCAAGACAGCUAGCACAAGAUGUCUAACCAUUCAAGCACCGUGUAUUCAAGUAUAGUGUGCAUGUCUCACACAAAAUUGUAAAUUUAUAGCUUAAGCCUUGAUCAUGUGUUCAGUGCCAAAAUAUCUAUUCAAAACUUGCCUUAAUAGUGUUGCAAUAUUUUGUCUCUUUCAUUAUUGCAUUAUGAAUACAUAUAAUUGUUGAUGAUUAAAAAAUAAAUGUCAUGUGUACGGGUAAAUGCCAUGUCAUUUAUUUUGUAUGCUACCUAGUGCUAGAGAAAUAAUAUAUUUUCAGGGUUAUUCUAAAUCUGCAACACAUUUUCUUUUUGUGUUUUAAAUAAAGAAAUUCUUUAUUUUGAUGAAAAUUUGAAAGCAGCUAAAUGUAUUAGUCUAUACAUACCUUGAAAUGUACAUGUAUAUGUUCACUAUUUUUUAAGUAAUACAUGUACAUAUUCCACGCUUGAAAAAUAUGUGAACAAGUAGAGGCAAAUCUGACGAACAAAACACUGAAAUUAUAUAAGUAUUGGAAGAGGAAUACAACCACAGAAAUUAUACAUGUACAGCCCACCUAUUGCAUAUUCUUCAUGGCAUGCAAAAAGCUGUUUUCAGACAAAGUUGCCAAAAUUUGGAAUUCAAUAACUCAAUUAUUUUUUCUAAUCACAUUUUCAUUUAGAUUUCUUGUGAUUAGUGCUCAUUAAUUAGAUAUCAUUUUUAUAUUUUGAAGUACUGUUGCACCUGUAGGCAGAUGCUCCCCAUUUGCAUACUAACCAGGAUGUACUGUACCUAUAAUUGUUUAUGAUGGAAAGUGAAAUUUUUUCAGUGUUUUACAAUCUAUGUUUUGUUUGAUUUUUCUUUUAUUUAACUGAUUUUACUGGUGGGAUAAGUUUAAAUAUGUUCCAAGUUUAAAGGAAACUACAGUAUACUCUACGUGCACAAUACACACAUGUACUUCCGAAUCCUUGUACUCCUAUGUUGAUUCUAUCAUACGAUAUUCAAUAUUUGCUCAAACUCAUACUAGUACAGCAUACAUAUAACAUGCUGUGAAAUUUUGGAUAGGUACAGUAUGCGAAUUAAAUAUAGAUGUUUUUACACUUCUCGAUGAACGGUAUUCCUUAAUGAUUUUAUGCAGUUAAUUGACACAAAUAAGUUGAUUUUAUUGCUGUAACUGCAUGAAGUUCAGCUUCAGAUUGGUUUUUCGUAAAGAUUACGUUUGGCUUAUGGACGACUUGUGAUCUUGUGGAGUCAACUCAUUUCCUGAAAAUAUACAUGUAUUGUACACCACUUCAGUACUAUUUUGUUUGUGUGCUGUUCUGCAGUAUAUUUAUCUAUCAUUUCUUGUAUUUUUAACAAGAAUCUUUAUCACAUUUCUUAUUGCCACAGCUCAGAAAUAAAUAUUGUUCACAUCAAA